ACCUCACUUCCGGCCAAUCUUAUCGGAAAACCGCCUAGAGAAGAUCUCAACCGUCCGAUCCUGUCGGAAUCCCACAGAAAAGCAUCGAGAGCUCAUCACCUCUCCUUCCCUUCCGAUAGGAGCAGAUGUUCUUCGUCCAAUCGUCUUCACUGGAGUGAAAGCAAAAGCUCCGGAACCCGCCGCCACGUCAGCGCGAAGCGGCCGCUGACGUAGAAGAGGAGAGUUUGAAUAAUUUCUAGGGUUUAUGGGGAGAAACGGAUGCUACCUUGAGGAAAAUAUCAACUGCCCUAUACAAGCCAUCAUUCACAACUCGAGCAUGGUCGGGGAGUAAUUCUGCUAGUGCGAUGAACUUGGACGUCAGCAAGUUCGAGUCCAGUGCAAUCUCUGCAAGAUAAGUGUCAAACAGCUUCGACACCUUGAGAAUUAAGCUUUGCUUGGGAGAUCUCGGGCUGUCAUACUCAUAGCCCAUGUCAGUCUCAUCUCGAAAGCAAUUCCCAUCAUCUUCUUCCUCGUCCAAGUUCAAGAAAAUGGAGAAGAUCCUCAAUAUUGAAUCUGUGUCGUAUAAUGGGUGGUUGUUGCUGUUUGGGUUUGCUGGAAUGAGAAUGUCUUCGAGAAUUGCCUGGUCUAAUCGCAGCCCAAUCCGUCUCUCUAGAUCUGCUCUACAAGCGGCGGAAGCAGAUGACACUGUCGCGGUUUUAAGUAGGCCUGAAAGAAAUGCCAUCGGCACCGGACUUUUCCUCGACUGGGUCGGUAGUAAUCCGACUAUCGCUUCGACGGUCACCCUUUGUUUCUUCUGCAAUUCAAUAUCUAUCAAGCUUCCUUCUACUGAUUGGAUAUCUCGAACACCAAGACCUUGGAGGGAAUUAUGCGCGUAAUUAAUCAAGAUCUUGCUGAUCGUGUCCUGUUUUAGACCCUUGGAUUUCACCACAGACAGGACUCUUUGGAAAAAAUCUAGAUUAAGGACUGUCAGGCUCUUGCCCCACCAAUCCGCCGGUGUUUCUGAUUCUGCAUUCGUCGGCUUAACAGGUAAGUUAUGCUCGAGCUUGGAUAACCCGGAUGAGAGCUGCUCCUUACAAGCAUUCGAUGCAAUUGCAUUUAUGAGUCUGCUGAUUAAGCUGAUUUCUUCAGCGACUGGUAGAAGAGCUUCGCAGCGGUGGAGAACGACAAUUGAAUUCAAGAUGUUCGAGAUCACCAUCUCUUUUAGAUAGAUUUCAGUGAGUGUCUCCAAGUUCUUCUCGGCGAAUUCCUCUGUCAUUUGAAGAUAGUGAGCUGCACAUCGCAGCAUGGCGACAUUUGAUAGGGUGAUCUCGAUGUUUAAGCCGUAGCAGAACUUCGCGGCCAGCUCGAAGGCUUCUGGCCCACCAGGGACGGCGGUGAGAGCUAUUCGAGAUACUUUCGAGUCCUUUGAUUCAGUAAGCAUUUUUCUGAUCUUCCCACUUCGAGAAACCAAAGGGAACUACAAAAGAACCAUGCCUUCUGUUAAAGGGGGAAAAAGUUCAAUUGAAAUUCUUUUUUCUGGA